GUGUUGUAUGAAAAGAGAGAAGGUUAGCACUCCCCUUGACAAGGAUGGAAGAGACCCCAGACCUGACAAUACAUAUACAGUUGAGCCAUUGCCACCUACUUUGUGGCAUCUAACUAUUGUUUAAA
ensembl:snRNA